rnacentral:rRNA from 1 species
UACGUAGGUCGCAAGCGUUGUCCGGAUUUACUGGGCGUAAAGAGCGCGCAGGCGGCUGGUCAAGUCCGAUGUGAAAUCUCCCGGUUCAACUGGGAAACUGCAUCGGAAACUGAUCGGCUUGAAGAUGGGAGAGGGUAGUGGAAUUCCCGGUGUAGUGGUGAAAUGCGUAGAUAUCGGGAGGAACACCAGUGGCGAAGGCGACUACCUGGCCUGUUCUUGACGCUGAGGCGCGAAAGCUAGGGGAGCAAACGGG